UACGGAGGAUCCGAGCGUUAUCCGGAUUUAUUGGGUUUAAAGGGAGCGUAGGCGGGAGAUCAAGUCAGCUGUGAAAUGUAGGCGCUCAACGCCUGCACUGCAGUUGAAACUGGUUUUCUUGAGUGCGUAAGGGGCAGGCGGAAUUCGUCGUGUAGCGGUGAAAUGCUUAGAUAUGACGAAGAACUCCGAUCGCGAAGGCAGCUCGCCGGGCCGCAACUGACGCUGAAGCUCGAAGGUGCGGGUAUCGAAC
rnacentral:rRNA from 1 species